rnacentral:lncRNA from 1 species
GUCUCUCGGCGUCGGAAAUUCGCGCCACCACAAGCUCCUUCGCUCAGCGAUUGACGAGUCGAGAUCUGCUCCAUCUCUCUCUCUCGGCGUCGGAAAUCAGCCGCCUGCCGCACCAUCUCCAGCGAAUCGCCGCCGCCGUCUCUGAGCUGGUCGUGGUAGCCGCCGCACCAUCUCCACCACCGAGGCAAGCCGUGACAACCACCACCACGGAACCCUCACUCACGCAUCUCCUCCCCUCUUCCCCCACCGGUGAUCUCUGUCACCAAUAUCCACACCUCCAUCAACGAUCGACGACCUUGUCCCUGCGCCGCCGCUGUAACCGAACAAACUCAUGCCGGAGAAGAUGGAUCCGGCGGCGGUGGUGGAAGUGUGCGUGCCGUGGCCGUCGUCGUCGCGCGGUGAUCUCAAUUCCUUGGAUUCAUCAAUCGGUGGCGUAAUCGGAGGCAUCGCAG